AAGCUUGCUAAGAAGGCAAUGGAAUUUGGUGAGCUACAUGAAUUGCGAAGCGUUUGGCGUCUUCUUUUUGAUGAAUCAUCAUCGGAUCUUCCACAAUUGGACCACGCAUUGGACGAAGGGUUCCAGAUUCGAACACCUCUGCAAAGACAUCAUUGAUUUUCGUCUCAACCAUUUGGAGGACAUUCGGUUUAGUCACCGCGAGAAGUUGGGGAAAUCCAUAACUCGUGGUCCUUCCAAGAAAUGGAUGAAGAAAUCGGAGCUUGAGGAAACAAUAAAGACGUGACUAUGUAUUUUGGAGACAGAAAGUUUGAAUUUUUGAUUGACAAAGCCUUAUAUGCUUGGAGACUAAGAUAAGCAUCUUCUAAUCCAUAGUACACACACCAUGAUAAGAAGCCCACCGGCAGAUAAACUACCGAUGGAUACAGCUGCAGUAAACAUGCCCAAUUGUUUUAUGGAGUUUCCGUCAAUACCGAUCACUUCUUCAGUAGCGUUUGAAAGAGAUGUAAUUUUGUCCAAACCGGAAAAAAACGGAUUUGAAGAGUAAAUUUCCCAUAACAGCUUCAUUAGAUCCAGUCAAGCGGCAAAUGGCUCGUCAUCCUCGUCCUAGCCUUCAAUUCCUUCUCCCCAGUCCAAUCCGGGCAUGUCCUUUGUGGAUAUAGAACCGACAAUUGUAAUGGAGAAAUCCCGGAAAUUGUCGAAAAACUUUUUUUCACCAACAUCCUGGUUAGUCAUUGAUGACUCCUUGAUAAUGAAUGGCGUUGGUCGUGUUCUGAUGACUAUUCUCAACUUCGCGAAUCUUCGAAAUUUCGGUUGGUUCAUUGGAGAGUUAUUCACCGUCGAGGAGAGAACAUUUUUGGGGCAAUAUUCCCAAAGCAACGCAAUCUUGCCAUCCGAUAAGAGGAGGAUCAAUUGCAAGCCCCGCACUUGGACCACGUGGCUCUCGGACCUACCACGGCGAAGCUUUGAUCACCUUUCGCAAUCUUGCAAAUUAUUAUUCAGCGGAUAUUAAUUAUCUGAUCUUCCCUUCCAAUUCAUUGUAGUUAUCUUAGCAAUUGUCAAAGCAUUUUCCAUGAUUCCUUUAUUGAUAUUUGAUCCAUGUCAAUACAUUUAUCUUCCAAAUUGAGAUUUGCAAAGCGGCAAAUAAACGUCAGUUCUCUGUGGAACAUCAAGAGGAUUAGAAGAGAUGGCGAUUUCAAAGAGUUUAAUGGUCGUAGUCUUUUUGGUCUGUGCCUCAGACUUGGUCCAUAGUAGGUUCCAUCCUAUCAAUGGCUUUGCUCUAGCUGAGGAGCGGGAACUGCAUGGUUUGAAAGACUGGCCUCCAAUCCAGGAACCUUGGAGAUGCUUGGAGACUGACAGCACCCAAGCCAUUGAGAGCUUCAAUGCUGCCAUCCAAUCAAUGAGUGGAAUUUCUAAGGAUGAUCCUGAUUGUCCAUUGAUUACACCGGAGAUUUGUGUGGCGGCCGACUUUUUCCCUGUGCCAUGUAAUUGCCAUGCUUUCGUGAGAUGCUUCCAAAUGGAUUUUGAUGGACCCUUGAUGCCCUGCAUAUAUAAAUGCUCUCCAUAUGAUUUGAUCUUCAGUCCCAAUGAGGGCGUUUGCGUCUUGGAGAUUGAAGCGCCACCUGGCAUUUGCUUCGACACACCUCUCCCACCCUCGCAAGAUUGACCUCUGGUGGAGAAUCUAGUCCCUUCUUUAAGUCACCAUAAAUCGUAGUAACCAGCGGAGACCCGUUUUCUAUGCAUAAAGGAUUGGACAUUUUCUCUCUCCCUAAUCAGUUGAAGAUAACUCGCACAUGCGAAAUAAUAACGAGACUUUUACAGAUGUGAAACAA